ensembl:lincRNA Gm26623 predicted gene, 26623
GACUACAGAUGCACUGUUUAAUUAGUAAGCAGAGAAUGUACUUGUUGCUGAGUGAGAUCUAAGGUAAGUCUUGAUUAUUAAGCAAGUUUAAAGCUAGUUUGGGAUAUGACCUUUAUUGAGCUUAUCCACCAGAGUGGAAACAAUGUCUGUACAAAAUCAAAUGCUUGUUACUAUAACUUCUGCAUCACAAUUAAAAUCCAAAGAGUUUUUAAAAAACAGUCAACUCAAUCAAAACCCACUACUUCAGAAUCAAUAGCUUCUUUGAAGCCACAGUAACACUUAAAUAUGGUUAAGCCUCGAAUGCACAAAUUUGGUUGGUUGGAAGGCUAAUUAAGCCUCCAACUUGCUCAAAUAGAAUUACAAAAAGGCAAAAUUGUGUUUUUCACAGAGAUACAGUCCACUGGAAUCACCAACACUGGACAGCUGUUAAGAUUAUUUAGAGUCCUGAGAUAAUAAGGAAUGCAGGCAUCCUUAAAUAGUCUUCUGUUGUCCUUUCUUCCCAAUCAGCGAUUUGUGGAUGUGUGGGAUGACACAACCACCAGCAAUGGUAGCUUUGAUCAGAGAAUCCAAUUCUUCAUCUCCACGUAUAGCAAGCUGCAAGUGACGAGGGGUAAUACACUUUACCUUUAAGUCUUUUGAUGCAUUUCCUGCCAACUCAAGUAUCUCUGCGGUGAGGUCCUCCAGGAUGGCUGCGCUGUACACAGCGGCCUUUCCGGAGUCCUUUCCAGCCUUACCGCCAGCCAUCUCGGACCGUGCUGAAGCUCCGACGAGCGAGGAAGAGACAAGGCCAGGCAGACGCUCAGCGAGAUCCAAGCGCCCACUCCUCCGUCGGACCGCGAUUCAAACUGCC